rnacentral:lncRNA from 1 species
GGGACGUCAUUCUCCUCUAGAUUUUUCACAGUAAGACCCCCUUUUUAAUUGUCAAGCCCAUGCCGACAUAUGCAAUAGCUCGUGUCAUAUUCUUUCUCUUGGUACUUGAUGAAAUUAAUCUCAUAUUUCUGGAAGGGGAAAAAACGAAAGGAAAACUAUGAGACAGGGUGAUCCACAGUUGCGGCAACAUUAUUUUUUAGCAGCAGUCAGUGUUAUUAAGCUUUUAACCCUGAAAGAAACAAGUUGUACUUGCAGGCAACCAAGAAAGGGGAGAGUCCACUGCCUGCCAGCUGCCUCUGUAACUGAAGAGCUGUGAGAGUGUAUGUUAACCAAAGAAAAUAGGCCUACUGAUCUAAACCUUGCCCUGCCAGGAACGAAACUGUGACAGAGCAUGUACUUGAUACAAAAUCGACAACUCAACAGUUACUGCUACCCAAACAUUUGCCUGUCUGUCUGACUGACCGCAGGAGUCUUCCCAGUUUUUGUUUUCUCGGGAUUUACCCUUGUUACAGAUACAGAUAGAUGAGGAAAAUUUGGUUGACAGGUAUGAAGAAACCUCUGAAAUUGGCCGAGGUUAUAUUUUUCCAUGGCAUGUGUCUGCGAUCCACAAAAUCAAUAGAAAG